rnacentral:rRNA from 1 species
GCAGUGGGGAAUAUUGCACAAUGGGCGCAAGCCUGAUGCAGCCAUUGCCGCGUGUGUGAAGAAAGGCCUUCGGGUUGUAAAGCACUUUCAGUCGGAGGAAGGUAGUGUAGUUAAUAGAUGCAUUAUUUGACGUUAGCGACAGAAGAAGCACACGGCUAACUCCGUGCCAGCAGCCGACGGUAAUACGGAGGGUGCGAGCGUUAAUCGGAAUUACUGGGCGUAAAGCGCAUGCAGUGGUGUGUUAAGUCAGAUGUGAAAGCCCGGGGCUCAACCUCGGAAUAGCAUUUGAAAACUGGCAGACUAGAGUAACUGGUAGAGGGGGGUAGAAUUUCAGGUGUAGCGGUGAAAUGCGUAGGAGAUCUGAAGGAAUACCCGGUGGCGAAAGGCGGCCCCCUGGACAGAUACUGACACUCAGAUGCGAAAGCGUGGGGAGCAAACAGGUUAGAUACCCUGGUAGUCCACGCCGUAAACGAUGUCUACUUGGAGGUUGUCGGCCUUGAGCCGUGGCUUUCGGAGCUAACGCGUUAAGUAGACCGCCUGGGGAGUACGGUCGGCAAGAUUAAAACUCAAAUGAAUUGACGGGGGCCGCACAAGCGGUGGAGCAUGUGGUUUAAUUCGAUGCAACGCGAAGAACCUUACCUACUCUUGACAUCCAGAGAACUUACCAGAGAGUGCAUGGUGCCCUUCGGGAACUCUGAGACAGGUGCUCAUGGCUGUCGUCAGCCUCGUGUUGUGAAAUGUUGGGUUAAGUCCCGCAACGAGCGCAACCCUUAUCCUUGUUUGCCAGCACGUAAUGGUCGGGAACUCCAGGGAGACUGCCGGUGAUAAACCGGAGGAAGGUGGGGACGACGUCAAGUCAUCAUGGCCCUUA